rnacentral:rRNA from 1 species
AGUGAACGCUGGCGGUAGGCCUAACACAUGCAAGUCGAACGGCAGCACAGUAAGAGCUUGCUCUUACGGGUGGCGAGUGGCGGACGGGUGAGGAAUACAUCGGAAUCUACUUUUUCGUGGGGGAUAACGUAGGGAAACUUACGCUAAUACCGCAUACGACCUACGGGUGAAAGCAGGGGAUCUUCGGACCUUGCGCGAUUGAAUGAGCCGAUGUCGGAUUAGCUAGUUGGCGGGGUAAAGGCCCACCAAGGCGACGAUCCGUAGCUGGUCUGAGAGGAUGAUCAGCAACACUGGAAGUGAGACACGGUCCAGACUCAUACGGGAGGCAGCAGUGGGGAAUAUUGGACAAUGGGCGCAAGCCUGAUCCAGCCAUACAGCGUGAGUGAAGAAGGACUUCGGGUUGUAAAGCCCUUUUGUUGGGAAAGAAAAGCAGCAGGUUAAUACCCCGCUGUUCUGACGGUACCCAAAGAAUAAGCACCGGCUAACUUCGUG